UGAGAGACAAGCUCAAAUAUUCUCCGAGGAGUGCAAAUUUUUCCCUGAUGAUAUAUAAAUUCAGUCCGUAUAUCCAUUGCCUGAUGUUUCUGAAUUGGAAAAAAAACUUUCUGAACAAUCAAAGAUACUCUUAAGUCUUCAACAGAAGGUUGACGAUUUGGCAUCAAAGUGUUAGAGUUAGAAAUGGCAGCGAGACAAAUGGAAGAGAUACAGAGGAAGCUGGUGAUGCUGAAUUGAUCGAGAGCCAAGUCUCUCCUCUUUGCCGGCAUGGAACACUAUGCUCUUCUCGAAUGGCUGUUCUUCCGCUUGUUGGGGGACAAGUCACCCUUUUCCCAACAGAGUCUUCAAGGGGACGCCAUGGAUCGUGACGAAGAGACCGCUUGCAUCCAAUGUAGGGCUUCUUUUCUAGAAUUUUGAAUUGGGUCGUGCUUAAGUUGUUCACAAUGUGAUGAAAAUUAACCCGGGUGUGUUUAGAUCAUCAAAUGUAGGCUAUAUACAUGGUGGAAAACAUGAGAUUCUCCCCCUGCUGUGUUCUUUUUGUUUUGUUUUUCACACUGCAAGAUUUGAUUUUUGAAUUCCAUGAAAUGGUGUGGAUUUGGGUGGAUGUGGUUGGGGUGUGGCUCAGAGAUGAGGAUCGAGGAUAGUUGGGGCGAUCGGGGAGGGUACGGAAUGCUUAGGGAGACAACCAAGGAAGGCAGGAGGAAGAGACGUAUAUUAAUAACCUCAUAACCCCUAUAAUUCAAAUGGUAUUUGUACAAAAUUCUGAAACAUAAUGCUUCUGUCUAAAAGAUUCACUCAGACCUUGAAAACCGGGGAAAAAAAAA